rnacentral:rRNA from 1 species
UACGUAGGUGGCAAGCGUUGUCCGGAAUUAUUGGGCGUAAAGCGCGCGCAGGCGGUCCUUUAAGUCUGAUGUGAAAGCCCACGGCUCAACCGUGGAGGGUCAUUGGAAACUGGGGGACUUGAGUACAGAAGAGAAGAGUGGAAUUCCACGUGUAGCGGUGAAAUGCGUAGAGAUGUGGAGGAACACCAGUGGCGAAGGCGACUCUUUGGUCUGCUAACUGACGCUGGAGGCGCGAAAGCGUGGGGAGCAAACGG